GACGAACGCUGGCGGCGUGCUUAACACAUGCAAGUCGAACGGAAAGGCCCUGCUUUUGUGGGGUGCUCGAGUGGCGAACGGGUGAGUAACACGUGAGUAACCUGCCCUUGACUUUGGGAUAACUUCAGGAAACUGGGGCUAAUACCGGAUAGGAGCUCCUGCUGCAUGGUGGUGGUUGGAAAGUUUCGGCGGUUGGGGAUGGACUCGCGGCUUAUCAGCUUGUUGGUGGGGUAGUGGCUUACCAAGGCUUUGACGGGUAGCCGGCCUGAGAGGGUUACCGGCCACAUUGGGACUGCGAUACGGCGCAGACUCGUACGGGAGGCAGCAGUGGGGAAUAUUGCACAAUGGGCGGAAGCCUGAUGCAGCAACGCCGCGUGCGGGAUGACGGCCUUCGGGUUGUAAACCGCUUUCGCCUGUGACGAAGCGUGAGUGACGGUAAUGGGUAAAGAAGCACCGGCUAACUACGUG
rnacentral:rRNA from 1 species